CACGUAGGGGGCAAGCGUUGUCCGGAUUUAUUGGGCGUAAAGAGCUCGUAGGCGGUUUCGUAAGUCGGGUGUGAAAACUCUAGGCUCAACCUAGAGACGCCACCCGAUACUGCGAUGACUAGAGUCCGGUAGGGGAGUGUGGAAUUCCUGGUGUAGCGGUGAAAUGCGUAGAUAUCGGGAGGAAUACCGAUGGCGAAGGCAGGUCUCUGGGCUGACACUGACGCUCAUGCACGAAAGCGUGGGGAGCAAACAGG
rnacentral:rRNA from 1 species